UACGGGGGGGGCAAGCGUUGUUCGGAAUUACUGGGCGUAAAGGGUUCGUAGGCGGCCAACUAAGUCAGACGUGAAAUCCCUCGGCUUAACCGGGGAACUGCGUCUGAUACUGGAUGGCUUGAGUUUGGGAGAGGGAUGCGGAAUUCCAGGUGUAGCGGUGAAAUGCGUAGAUAUCUGGAGGAACACCGGUGGCGAAGGCGGCGAUCCUGGACCAACACUGACGCUGAGUGAGCGAAAGCCAGGGGAGC
rnacentral:rRNA from 1 species